AAAUGAAGGGAGAAGUAUUGCUAACAUUAAACGAAGGGAGAAGUAUUGUUUAAAAAAUAAAAUAAACUUUUUCGACAUAGUAAAAAUAUUAUAAUUAAACUCUGCAAAAAGUUAAUACAAAUUGAAGAAAACAAUACUAGAGUCAUAUUUCACUAAUUGAGAUAGGAUGAACAUAUUCUUUUGGGUUUUGAAUAGCUUUGCCAUGAAGUUGGUCAAAAUGCUUAGGAACAAAAGUAGAAGAAUUCUGGUUAUCAAUGUUCUUAACCCUUGUGUUGAGGGCAUCAAUCUUGAUGUUCAGAUCAUUGUAGGAGCAGUCAAUUCUUGUUGUUAACUCAGCGAGCUUCUUUUCGAUGGCCAUUGUACUGGAUGCUUGUCCUUGCACAAUUUGCUGAAGCAAAGUCUUCAUGUCCGAAUCUUGUGCAGGAGGAGCUUGUUGUGGCUGAGUAAAACCUUGAUUGUAUGGAACAAAAGGUUUAGGUUGAGCUUGUUGGUUCUGUUGAAUGUAAACUUGAUCUUGUAUAUAUAUACAUAUUGGGAAAUUUGUACAAUUAUUAAUUU
rnacentral:sRNA from 1 species